ensembl:lncRNA
CUCCUGUAUGUCUGACACCCUGCCAAGUACUAUCACUGAUGUUCACACCAAGGACUUCCAUUCUGUGCAACAUAGUGACCUUUUUCCCAUUCUGCUCAAACAGCUUCAUUAUGGAAACCUAAUGGAGAAAUCCAGAGAUUUCUUGUACCUCAACUUUCAAGAUACUUCUUCCAGCAGCAGAGCAGCUCUGACGGAUUUCCUGGGCCUAUUACAGGAAGGGAAGGGGGGUUGAAACAGCAAAGCACUAUACAUGGAGGAGUGGAGAAGGGAGCAGAGGAUCCUCAAGACAAGGCAAUCAAAUGCUGAUUACCUGCUGGAGAGGUAAAUGAUGCUAAAGGUAUGCUGCACGUGACUGCAUUUAUUCUCUGAUAUAUAAAAGAGGGUGACUUCUGUGAUACAGGAAAAGGGAUGGCUUUUUUUCAGGUCUGAUUCCCUGUAGUAGUGGGUUGGGGAUUUUUUUACAGUACUGGCUCUGUUCGUACGGCUUAUGUUUAAGGUAAUUUAAUAGAAGCUCUUAAAAAU